GACGAACGCUGGCGGCGUGCUUAACACAUGCCAGUCGAACGGACAGACCCUGCUUUUGUGGGUUUCUCGAGUGCCGAACGGGUGAGUAACACGUGAGUAACCUGCCCUUGUCUUUCGGAUAACUUCACGAAACUGCGGCUCAUAUCGCAUAUGAUCUCCUGCUGCAUGUUGUUGGUUGGUAAGUUUCGGCGGUUGGGGAUGUUCUGGCGGCUUAUGAGCUUGUUUGUUGGGUAGUGGCUUACCAAGGCUGUGACGGAUAGCCGGCCUGGGAGGGUUACCGGCGACAUGGGGACUGAGGUAGGGACCAGACUCCUACGGGAGGCAGCAGGCGAGAAUCUUGCACAAUGGGCGGAAGCGUGAUGCAGAAACGCUGGGAGCGGGAUGACGGGCUACGGGUGAUAAACCGAUUUCGCCUGAGACGAAGAGGGAGUGACGGUAAUGAGUAAAGAAGCACCGGCUAACUACGUG
rnacentral:rRNA from 1 species